UAGAAAAUUCGCUUUUAGCGACCGAUUUAGAGACCGAAUUAUUUUGGUCACUAUAGAGACCGAAUUAGAGACCAAAAUUUUAAGAUUUAAAAUAAAAAAUAUUUCGGUCACUAAAUCGGUCGCUAUUAAAUUUAGAGACCGAUUUAGAGACUGAAAAUUAGCGACCGAAUUAUUUUGGUCACUAAAUUCCGUCGCCUAACCCAAAUCAAUUUUUUAAAAUCAAUUUUUACUUGUCACUUUUCAGUUUCUUAGUGUUAGGUAGAACCUCGCCAGCCAAAUCAAAUUUCGCUUAACCCUGGAAGCCUGAACCUAUUUUCGCCGCACCACCUUACCACCGCACAACCCUUCUUCUCACCAUCGUUUAACCCUUAAUCAAAUUUUCACCUCUUCUCCACCGGAACACCGCUUUUCACACGUCUGUUCUUCUCUUCUCCACCCAAACUGACACAUUCACGUUUCCCAUCGUGGUCACAGAGAUAACGACCUCAACCUUCCGCUGUCUCACACGAUGUCGUUUUCAAAUAUCCGAUCGCUCUUCCUCGUCCUUUGUCUUUGAAUCAGUCAUCUAGUCUUGUUUCCGAUAUCUUACGACUUCGUGUUGCAUAUCAGGUAUUUGAUAUUUUGCUUCUUGCAUUGCAUGGAAAGUGGUUUUGAAAUUUUGUUUAUUUACAUCACCUUUUUUAGGAUAUUUUUGGAAGCAUUAAUUAUAUAGUAUGUGUAUGUGUUUGUGUUUGAGAAACAGAGUUUUGGGGGAACACUUUUGCCUUGGUUGUAUGAGGACUCGUAUGCAUAUUGUGAUUUGUGAGGAACAUGGAUGGGCUUAUGUGGGAAUUUAUGAUGAAUUUAAUUGUCGUGAUGCAACCAAUUAUCUUGUUAAUAAUAUUUUUUAUGCUGUACAUGAUAGCUUAAAGGGUUUCUAUGUAAUCGAAAUCGAAAUAGUAGUAACAAAGCAAAAAGUGAAGAGGGUUUUUGUCACAUAGAUGUGUUAGAAGCUCUUUAUGAGGCAAUGAGGAAAACUGAUGAUGCAUUUUUUAGUAUAAUUAAUGAGAUGGUUAAUCAUAAUCCUGUUUUGGCUAUGAUUGGUUCUUGUGUUUUGGUUAUGUUGAUGAAAGGUGAAGAUGUUUAUUUGAUCAAUGUUGGUGAUAGUCGUGCAAUUUUAGCUACUUGGAUUGGGAAUCAUCCCCAACUCAAUUUGAUUCUCAACAAUAUUGUAGAAUCGUAUCAACUUAGUUCUCUACAUUAGGAGCAUUCAGAUGAUCCUUCUGCAGUAACUAAAGGUAGAGUGAAAGGUUACUUGAAUAUCACAAGGGCUUUUGGAGCAGAAUUCCUUAAGCAGGAUACAAAAUGAUAGGAUUCUUUCUUACCUGGGUGCUUGUGAGUGUUUUUGGCUAUGCUUAUGAAUGCUACAAAGGAGUUGAAAACAAUAAGCCAUUAUUGGUAUGCUUAUAUCGAUUGUUUCUCCAUGCUUAACUUAUACUUGAUAACUUCUAGUAAAUAAUGAAACUUGAUAACUUAGUACCACUGAAACUGAGGUACACCUGUUCCUUCAUUGUUAGUCUGCCUCUAGGAUUUGGUAUGCUAUAACAAGGUGGUUAGGAUUUUUGAACUCUACCACAUGUUUAUAAUCCUAAGGUCAAAGUAUGUGCAAUUUUAUUAAUGAUUGAUUUUCAAUAUUACUCAAUGAUGAUUGAUUUAGCCAUUGUAAUUGGGAUGUUAUAAUUGGCUUUGAGGUAUGAAUCAACCUAAGCCUUCUUUUGUGGCUUUAUGUAUGCAGAAGAGUAAGAAAUUUUCCAAAUUGUAGCAGCAUUUUAUCAAGACUUUCCAUAUGUUUCUUUGAAGAAAAUGUACUGUUAGUUAUUUAUAUAACAUAGAUUGUGUGAAGUUCACUAAUUUAGCUAAUAUGUAUAGGUUGGUGUUGUUUUGUUAGUUUGGGCACUUACAAGCUUUAAAGAAGCAAUCUAUGCAGACCAAAAUCUAGCUUUAUCAAAUUGCAAUAUGUUGAAAUCAGAAAAAUCUAAAAGUGCACUUGACCAUGAUUUUGUCUUUUCCAUUUCAAUUAAGUGAUUAGCUUUUUAUAAUAUUUGUUUGUGCAGGUAUAUAUACCCUUUGAAAUUUGAUACUGAAUAUGUAAUUCAGGUGCUUAUUUGUUCUUAACUUUUUUAGGUGCUUUAGUUAAUCGGUACAAGACACCAAGGUAUGUGGAGUUUCACCUGUGGCUGUUGUUGAGCUCUUGAUUUUAUCAUUUUAUUGCACAUACUCUGAUAGUGAAUUAAUGGAUUAGCAAAUUAAUAUUAUUGUGGUUUUAUAUUGCACUUUUCAAGUUACCAGAGAAUUGGAGUCUGUCAAAGUAUUGUAACUGCUUCAGUUGAAGAUCCUAAUGGUUAUAAGUUUGAAAAGAAUGACUUGCGAACCUUAGGCAAAGUGAUGCUUCAAUUGAAGAUCCUAAAGGUUAUAAGUUUUGAAGACACCAAGAUUUUACAAGUUGAACAAGGAAUGCUCUUUCUUUAAUAUGAUUUGACCCGCUCAAAAUUCUUCUUUUAUGGAAAUGGACACAAGAUAGAGGAAGUGGGAUAUUAUGUGUUGUUAUAUCUCUUACUAUUGUUAUAUCUUAGUAUUUUAGAGGCAUCUUGGGCUGUAUGAUUUAGUUUUUGUAUUGUUAUAUCUUAGUAUUCACUGAUGACCCUUGCAAGCGUAGUAGUGAUAAUUUAUUGGUUAUCUUUUGGAUUGAUUAUGUAUUUUUGGAUAAGUAGUUGGCAAUAUACUUAAAUAUAAAUAUAUAUUAUGUUCAUAUUGUUGUGUGAUGUUUAA